UUUAUUACAUGGAUAAAUAUUUUUUUUAAAAAAUUUGUGGUUAGUUUCGUUAAAAAAUUCGUAUAUACCAUUUUUUUGUUGUACAUAUAUAACCAUUUGUCAAAAUAGUUACUUAUUAAUUUUUCAUUUAUUUUUUCUUUUAUGUGGGUAGAGCGCUUUUCAUAUUGAUACAUUAACAGCCAUAGAUUAAAAAAUGUUUGUUUUUUUUUAUGAUUACAACUUUUUAAUAAAAAAUUCAUACUAUUUUUUUGUUUUUGUCUUUUUUUACCAAAUAAUAAUAAUCCAACAAAACACAUCAUUUUUAAUCUUUUUUUUAUUUUUUCUUUUAAUUCAUAAAAUGUAUGUUUAUCAUAACUACUUACAAUAGUAAAAUUAUACCAAUGAAAAAAUAAUGUACGUACCUUUUUUUUUAUAAUUUUUUUCCGUUUUAUUUUUGUUUCUUUUAUACUACUAUUAAAUGUUAAUGCCCAUAGCCCGAAAUAUUUUUCUAUAACAUUCUUUUCAUUUUUGUUAAUUAUAUUUAUCAUUUUUGUCAAAUCAUUUUUUUUUUUUUCUCUUUUUGUGAUACAAUAUUUAUGCCAUAAAAAUAAGCUUUUUUUUAUUUUAUUAAAAAAUAGACACAUAUUAAUUAAUUUACUUUUUUCCAAAUUUAAUAAAAAAUAAUAAUUUAAACAUAAACAAUUAUUUUCAAAUUUUUUCAAAACAUAAUUAUUUAAUGCUUUUAGUACGUAAGUUAUUAAAGUACAAAAUUGUUCAUUCGUUAUAUCGUUUACUAUUGUACCAUUAUUUUUACUGUUUUUUGUUACGAUAGCAUUGUGUUUGUUACUAAACCGGUGCUUGCCAAAACUUUUGUUAUUUUUGGAGUAUAUAUACUCACUAGAUUUACUAUUACUCCAAUUAGAAUAUUCUUCAUGAGAGUUACUACUGUGUAAAAACAAAUUCAUGGUUGACUUUGAUAAGUUGUUUAAUUUAUUUUUUAUUUUUUUACCAUAUUUAUUGUCAUUAUUAUUGUCAUUAUUAUUGUCAUUAUUAUUGUCAUUAUUAUUGUCAUUAUUAUUGUCGUUAUUAUUGUCGUUAUUAUUGUCGUUAUUAUUGUCGUUAUUAUUGUCGUUAUUAUUGCCAUAUUUAUUACCAUUAUU
rnacentral:lncRNA from 1 species